rnacentral:rRNA from 1 species
UACAGAGGGUGCGAGCGUUAAUCGGAAUUACUGGGCGUAAAGCGUGCGUAGACGGUUUCGUAAGUCGGGCGUGAAAUCCCCGGGCUCAACCUGGGAAUUGCAUUCGAAACUGCGAGGCUAGGGUACGGAAGAGGGAAGCGGAAUUUCUGGUGUAGCGGUGAAAUGCGUAGAUAUCAGAAGGAACAUCAGUGGCGAAGGCGGCUUCCUGGUCCAGUACCGACGUUCAGGCACGAAAGCGUGGGGAGCAAACAGG